GACGAACGCUGGCGGCGUGCCUAAUACAUGCAAGUCGAGCGAGCUGAAUUCAAAGAUUCCUUCGGGAUGAUUUGUUGGACGCUAGCGGCGGAUGGGUGAGUAACACGUGGGCAAUCUGCCCUAAAGACUGGGAUACCACUUGGAAACAGGUGCUAAUACCGGAUAACAACAUGAAUCGCAUGAUUCAAGUUUGAAAGGCGGCUUUUAGCUGUCACUUUAGGAUGAGCCCGCGGCGCAUUAGCUAGUUGGUGGGGUAAAGGCCUACCAAGGCAAUGAUGCGUAGCCGAGUUGAGAGACUGAUCGGCCACAUUGGGACUGAGACACGGCCCAAACUCCUACGGGAGGCAGCAGUAGGGAAUCUUCCACAAUGGACGCAAGUCUGAUGGAGCAACGCCGCGUGAGUGAAGAAGGUUUUCGGAUCGUAAAGCUCUGUUAUUGGUGAAGAAGGAUAGGGGCAGUAACUGGUCUUUAUUUGACGGUAAUCAACCAGAAAGUCACGGCUAACUACGUGCCAGCCGCCGCGGUAA
rnacentral:rRNA from 1 species